AUAUUAAUAUUGCUGCAACAAUAUGACUAUUAAUUGUGUUACACCUAUUCUACUCUCGUCUAUUGCUACAAGACCCUGAAGAUGCUAGUCUUUGAUAUGACUAGGCAUUCUCUCUCUUUCUCGCUUUGCUGCAGCCAGUCCACAUAUAACCCCCCUCCUUUGAUACUGUUGCAUACUUAGCAUAGUUUUGAUGUAAGACUUGCGAGUACUUUGGAUGAGUACUCACCGUUGCUUUGCUCCCCCUUUGUCCCCUUGAUCCGUUGCUGCGACCAGAUGAUGGAGCCCAGGAGAUGGAGUUUUCCUGCCGACGCCUGCCGCCCCGAUGGUGUCUUCUUCAUGGAGGCCGCUGAAGAAUAGGAGUAGUUAGGAGGUUCCCAGACAGGAGGCCUCGCAUCGUUCGAUCGUGUUUCUUUUGUGCUAGCCUUCCCUAAGGCACCCCAUGUUUUAUGUUUGUACUCAGAUAUUGUUGCUUCCGCUGACUCGUGUGUUUAUUGAGGUUCUGUAUUCUAGCCCUCGAGGCCCUGGCUUGUAAUAUGGAGCUUGUAUUAUUUUAUAUGUGUCUAGAGUUGUGUUGUGAUAUCUUCCUAUGAGUCCUUGAGUUUGAUCGUACGCAUUUGCAUGUAUAAUUAGCGUACGAUUAAAUCGAGGGCGUCACAUUACCGUUGCCGAAUGUCUACUUACUCUCUUCUGGGUUGUCCCACAACUCUUGACAUACUCAUAAUCCAACCUGAAUGGAUCCAAAUUCCAUCCAAAUCUUAUGGGCAUCCGACCACUCAUCAUAUAGCCAUCUCUUGGCUAACAUAUAAUAUUCCUGACAUCCUCUGAUGUCCACACAAGAUGAGUUCUUCCAUCAUUGUUAUCAUUGAUAUGGUUGACCACCUAGUGAGGUCUGGACGGGUUGUCCAAUACUAUGGACGCGGCUAUUCGAAUAGAUUACACUCUCUAGAGCUUGCACACUUUACGCACACUCGAGCACUAACCUCGUGAUCCCAUUCGGGUGGACCAGUGUUGCUCCAACGAAACUUGCCUGACCCAUGACUCUUCCAUCGUACCUCUGACAUUCAUCCUCCCCCGGAGUCGUACCCUGGGUGGCCAUAUGUCCUCAUGACACCUGCCACCGUCGUGGCCAAACUAAAUUGUCCCAAACGGGGACGCCGACACAAAACAUCUCAACUGGCUCACAGGGUUAUCACCGCCUACCUGAUCAGGGUAGCGCGCGUGCAUAACCCUUCUUUGGAGGUACCAGUGAAAGAGCACGUAAUCAGACCAAGUCAAGGCUGUCCCAUACGAGCAAAUGUGGUUGCACGGGUAAGCCCGGACAGGUGACUCAAGAUCAACCAGCUAGGUUGCAUUUGUUAACCCAACUCAACUUAUCCAUCACCUUACCAUUACCUUGACAAAUAUAAGUGCUAAACAAUUGUGCUGAUAAUUAUGGUAUGACAUCAAACCCAAGUACUAACAUGCCAAUGUUAUUAACAAUCUUAUUAUUAGUAUGGUAAUAUGUAAACAAGACAUGGCAUUAGAUGAAAAGUCAUGCUAGUAGCGAUUACUGAUGUCAUUACAUAUGUAUGCAGAUGUAGACUAACAGAUCACACACAGGGUGCAAGCAAAGUCAUCACGCAAGUCUGAAGCUCAUGGUAAGAGGUUGGCUUGCUUGGGGGUCGAUGAAUACGGCGGGAAGAAGCGCGACCAUCUCACGGAAGGGUUUGCCGGAAGGGUUCUCUCUCAAAGGGCUCGAUCAGAGGGUAAGGGCAAAACAAUCAUUUCUACUGUGAGGAUGCAUAAUGAAAAUGGUACUCUCGAAACGGGCUCGACUAGACAAAAGUGUGGGCGCUGGUUUUACCUCAAUCAGAGUUACGGUUGCAAAGUUAUGGCCAUUCGUUUGUUAGGCAGAGAAACAAAUAAAAAUGUGUUCAUUUCGGAUGCUAACUGACGAACGUCCAGUAAAUAAAAGAUUCACCCGGCGGAGUUUAAACAGAAAGCGUAUUCCUGGGAAUACGCGUUCACUGACGAGAAAGCGUACCCCAGGGAAUACGUCUCCACUUAUCAACCUCAGCGACCGGGUUAAGGCCUUCUUUGGCUGAUAUGCAGGGCCCGCGAGGAGGUGGGUCCCGCCCUAUUCCUUUUUCUCCUCCUAGCUUCUUCUUCCUAGCGCUGGUGGCAGAGGAGAGCACCGGCCGCUGCGGCUGCCGUCACCUCGCCGCCUGGGAGGGCCGACCGACGAGCGCGGAGAACCGCCACCCCUCACUGCGCCCGAGGGUGGCCGCGGGGUCACCUGAGGUGGACCACAACGCCACCGCCAUGGACCGGAUCGCGGCGGACGGGGAGCUGCAGGGGGCCGCGCCUGCAGGGCGUCCCCGACGGAAAUGGAUAUGGCGGCGGCUCAUAAGCAGCUAGGGGAAGGUCUCUCCGAGGACAGAGGAGAGGGGGAGGGCUAUGGAGCUAGAAUUGCCGCGGGGGUUGAUGGCGGCCGGCGCAGCCAUUGAUGGCAAUGGGGAGCUCCGAGGGCUUAAGGGAGGGGUUGGGGCUUGCUGGUCGACGGCAGGGCCUCGGGGCAUGCUAUUUAUAGCCGAGGGGAGGGGCUAGACGACGACGGACGGAGCUUCGAGAGCCAUAGCGAGAUUCCGGUCGGCAGACACCUCCAGGAGCAAGGAGACGAGUGGGAGAGGGCUCUGGAGGGUUCACGCAUGCCAUGGGAACCACCACGACACGCCUGGACAGGCUGGAGCUUGGUGGAGAUGUGCUCCCGUCACUCCAAUGCACAGGGCGCCGAUUUGGCUGCUUUGCCCGUGGUCAUCACCUGGCCACAGCAUUGCCAUGCUCCACUUGCUGCCAAACCAUGUACAGGGUCUUCUCCAUACUUCACUGAGAUGAGCUGACCCAUCAAACAC
rnacentral:lncRNA from 1 species